UACGUAGGGUGCAAGCGUUAAUCGGAAUUACUGGGCGUAAAGCGCGCGUAGGCGGUGAUGUAAGUCAGAUGUGAAAUCCCCGGGCUCAACCUGGGAACUGCAUUUGUGACUGCAUCGCUGGAGUGCGGGAGAGGGGGAUGGAAUUCCGCGUGUAGCAGUGAAAUGCGUAGAUAUGCGGAGGAACACCGAUGGCGAAGGCGAUCCCCUGGGCCUGCACUGACGCUCAUGCACGAAAGCGUGGGGAGCAAACAGG
rnacentral:rRNA from 1 species